rnacentral:rRNA from 1 species
UACGAAGGUUCCAAGCGUUAUCCGGAUUUAUUGGGUUUAAAGGGUGCGUAGGCGGGCUAUUAAGUCAGUGGUGAAAGCCCCAAGCUUAACUUGGGAACUGCCAUUGAUACUGAUGGUCUUGAGUACAUUUGAGGUGGGCGGAAUGUGUCAUGUAGCGGUGAAAUGCUUAGAUAUGACACAGAACACCGAUUGCGAAGGCAGCUCACUAAACUGUAACUGACGCUGAGGCACGAAAGCGUGGGGAGCAAACAGG